rnacentral:rRNA from 1 species
GACGAACGCUGGCGGCGUGGAUUAGGCAUGCAAGUCGAACGGUAGGGACCUUUCGGGGUCCUGAGAGUGGCGAACGGGUGAGUAACACGUAGGUAAUCUACCCUCAAAUCGGGGACAACCCAGGGAAACUUGGGCUAAUACCGGAUGAGUGCAGCAAUGCAUAAAAGGUGGCUGGUAACAGCUGUUGUUUGAGGAUGAGCCUGCGCCCUAUUAGUUAGUUGGUGAGGUAACGGCUUACCAAGGCGAUGAUAGGUAGGCGGCCUUAACGGGUGGUCGCCCACACUGGGAUUGAGAUACGGCCCAGACUCCUACGGGAGGCAG